UCAAGGAAGGAAGGAAGGAAAUCAUUAUUCGUUCCCAAAGUAGUCCCAAUGAACAAAACCGGAGGGACUCCACUCUUUUGCGGACCAGCCAAGAACCUAGACCGGGUUUCACUUUCACAUCUCUGGAAGUUGAGCUUUUUUUCAAAGUAUAUUCCACCCCUUGUUCUGGUGAAUCAGAGUGUCACUCUACAGUUCUGUAGGGCUGCGUGAACAGAUUACAUGAUAUCUUCUUCCUCUGAUGAAAGAAUAUGAUCUGCUGUAGGCUACAGCGGAGGUGGUUGAGGACCAGAACACGCAUCCAUCAAGGCGGGAGCGCGCAUUGUGAAGAGGCGGGGCAGCGGGAAUAUCUCUUUCCGGAUAUUUACCUCCACCUGCCCGCGCGACGCGCCCAGUUCCAAGGUUUUUAACAGCGGUAGUAUCAACGGACAUGACAAAGUUCCCAAAUCCAGGACUACUGAGGUUGUGGAGAGAUGGACUGAGGGUUGUGUGUGUGUGUGAGUGAGUGACGCGUAAUUCAGAGUGAAAAGACACAGAGAGACGUGACAGUCCCGCGUCCCAUUGUGACAUAGUUACGCUGCUCUGAGACCAGUCUGCAGGGGGGAACACACAGCCAUAACGGGUACCUCCCCAACAGUUCCAACCAACGCAGCUCUGAGACCAGUCUGCAGGGGGGAACACACAGCCAUAACGGGUACCUCCCCAACAUUCCCAACCAACGCGGCUCUGAGACCACUGUCUGCGGGGGAAACACGCAGCCAUAACGGGUACCUCCCCAACAUUCCCAACCAACGCAGCUCUGAGACCAGUCUGCAGGGGGGAACACACAGCCAUAACGGGUACCUCCCCAACAUUCCCAACCAACGCAGCUCUGAGACCAGUCUGCAGGGGGGAACACACAGCCAUAACGGGUACCUCCCCAACAUUCCCAACCAAUGUGGCUCCACAUACUCGUCCCUCUAUUGAUUUGAAUGUGUUGACAGUUGGAGAAAUAGCUUGAGCCGCAUUGAGAAUUAGAAAAGUAUGAAAGCCAAUGGUCCAAUAUUCUAGAAUACUGCUGUGCGGGGACAUUUUGGACUCUGAUAGACGUGUGUUUGUAAAAGGUUGAGUAACCCACGGUAACAGACAUGCCCAAACCUGAUCUACUCUGUUUGGUUCAACUACUGGACAACACUAUCCAGACCUUUACAGUCAACAAGCAGGAUGCAGGUGAGGUUUUACUGGAGCAGGUGUGUAACCAGCUGGGUCUGCUGGAGAGACACUUCUUCAGUCUGCAGCUACGAGACUCCAACACCACCAUCGUCACUCAAACACACUCUCCUAGGUGGUUGGAGGCCAACAAACCACUGAAGAAGCAGCUGAAAGGUAAUAAACACUAAAUGAGACCUUAGCCUGAGCCCAGUGACGCCCUACUGUUUAGCCCAGUGACGCCCUACUGUUUAGCCUGAGCCCAGUGACACCCUACUGUUUAGCCUGAGCCCAGUGACGCCCUACUGUUUAGCCUGAGCCCAGUGACACCCUACUGUUUAGCCUGACCCAGUGACGCCCUACUGUUUAGCCCAGUGACGCCCUACUGUUUAGCCUGAGCCCAGUGACACCCUACUGUUUAGCCUGAGCCCAGUGACGCCCUACUGUUUAGCCUGAGCCCAGUGACACCCUACUGUUUAGCCUGACCCAGUGACGCCCUACUGUUUAGCCUGAGCCCAGUGACGCCCUACUGUUUAGCCUGAGCCCAGUGACGCCCUACUGUUUAGCCUGAGCCCAGUGACGCCCUACUGUUUAGCCUGACCCAGUGACGCCCUACUGUUUAGCCUGAGCCCAGUGACGCCCUACUGUUUAGCCUGACCCAGUGACGCCCUACUGUUUAUCCCAGUGACGCCCUACUGUUUAGCCCAGUGACGCCCUACUGUUUAGCCUGACCCAGUGAUGCCCUACUGUUUAGCCUGAGCCCAGUGACACCCUACUGUUUAGACCCAGUGACGCCCUACUGUUUAGCCCAGUGACGCCCUACUGUUUAGCCUGAGCCCAGUGACGCCCUACUGUUUAGCCUGACCCAGUGACGCCCUACUGUUUAGCCUGACCCAGUGACGCCCUACUGUUUAGCCUGAGCCCAGUGACGCCCUACUGUUUAGCCUGACCCAGUGACGCCCUACUGUUUAUCCCAGUGACGCCCUACUGUUUAGCCCAGUGACGCCCUACUGUUUAGCCUGACCCAGUGAUGCCCUACUGUUUAGCCUGAGCCCAGUGACACCCUACUGUUUAGACCCAGUGACGCCCUACUGUUUAGCCCAGUGACGCCCUACUGUUUAGCCUGAGCCCAGUGACGCCCUACUGUUUAGCCUGACCCAGUGACGCCCUACUGUUUAGCCCAGUGACGCCCUACUGUUUAGCCUGAGCCCAGUGACACCCUACUGUUUAGCCUGAGCCCAGUGACGCCCUACUGUUUAGCCCAGUGACGCCCUACUGUUUAGCCUGAGCCCAGUGACACCCUACUGUUUAGCCUGAGCCCAGUGACGCCCUACUGUUUAGCCUGAGCCCAGUGACACCCUACUGUUUAGCCUGACCCAGUGACGCCCUACUGUUUAGCCUGAGCCCAGUGACGCCCUACUGUUUAGCCUGAGCCCAGUGACGCCCUACUGUUUAGCCUGAGCCCAGUGACGCCCUACUGUUUAGCCUGAGCCCAGUGACGCCCUACUGUUUAGCCUGACCCAGUGACGCCCUACUGUUUAGCCCAGUGACGCCCUACUGUUUAGCCUGAGCCCAGUGACACCCUACUGUUUAGCCUGAGCCCAGUGACGCCCUACUGUUUAGCCCAGUGACGCCCUACUGUUUAGCCUGAGCCCAGUGACACCCUACUGUUUAGCCUGAGCCCAGUGACGCCCUACUGUUUAGCCUGAGCCCAGUGACACCCUACUGUUUAGCCUGACCCAGUGACGCCCUACUGUUUAGCCUGAGCCCAGUGACGCCCUACUGUUUAGCCUGAGCCCAGUGACGCCCUACUGUUUAGCCUGAGCCCAGUGACGCCCUACUGUUUAGCCUGACCCAGUGACGCCCUACUGUUUAGCCUGAGCCCAGUGACGCCCUACUGUUUAGCCUGAGCCCAGUGACGCCCUACUGUUUAGCCUGACCCAGUGACGCCCUACUGUUUAUCCCAGUGACGCCCUACUGUUUAGCCCAGUGACGCCCUACUGUUUAGCCUGACCCAGUGAUGCCCUACUGUUUAGCCUGAGCCCAGUGACACCCUACUGUUUAGCCUGACCCAGUGACGCCUUACUGUUUAGCCCAGUGACGCCCUACUGUUUAGCCUGAGCCCAGUGACGCCCUACUGUUUAGCCUGACCCAGUGACGCCCUACUGUUUAGCCCAGUGACGCCCUACUGUUUAGCCUGAGCCCAGUGACGCCCUACUGUUUAGCCUGAGCCCAGUGACGCCCUACUGUUUAGCCUGACCCAGUGACGCCCUACUGUUUAGCCUGAGCCCAGUGACGCCCUACUGUUUAGCCUGACCCAGUGACGCCCUACUGUUUAGCCUGACCCAGUGACGCCCUACUGUUUAGCCUGAGCCCAGUGACGCCCUACUGUUUAGCCUGAGCCCAGUGACGCCCAACUGUUUAUCCUGAGCCCAGUGACGCCCUACUGUUUAGCCUGAGCCCAGUGACGCCCUACUGUUUAGCCUGAGCCCAAUGACGCCCUACUGUUUAGCCUGAGCCCAGUGACACCCUAUU